rnacentral:rRNA from 1 species
UACGUAGGGGGCUAGCGUUGUCCGGAAUCAUUGGGCGUAAAGCGCGUGUAGGCGGUCCGGUAAGUCCGCUGUGAAAGUCGGGGGCUCAACCCUCGGAUGCCGGUGGAUACUGUCGGGCUUGAGUACGGAAGAGGCGAGUGGAAUUCCCGGUGUAGCGGUGAAAUGCGUAGAUAUCUGGAGGAACACCGGUGGCGAAGGCGGGUCUCUGGGCCGAUACUGACGCUGAGGAGCGAAAGCGUGGGGAGCAAACAGG